rnacentral:rRNA from 1 species
UACGAAGGGUGCAAGCGUUACUCGGAAUUACUGGGCGUAAAGCGUGCGUAGGCGGUUUGUUGCGUCGGCUGUGAAAUCCCGAGGCUCAACCUCGGGUCUGCAGUCGAUACGAGCAAACUAGAGUGUUGCAGGGGAGACUGGAAUUCCUGGUGUAGCGGUGAAAUGCGUAGAUAUCGGGAGGAACACCAGUGGCGAAGGCGGCUUCCUGGCCUGUUCUUGACGCUGAGGCGCGAAAGCUAGGGGAGCAAACGGG